ACAGGUGAGAGGCCUCACAAGUGUACACAGUGCGAGAAGGGCUUUUCUGAAGUUGGUCGCUUAAAAAUACACCUGAAGAUUCAUUCAAGGGAAAAGCCCUAAACAUCGAAGUGUGGUGUAAGGGCUUUUCCACACUGCCUCAUGCCAACAUGGAAUUCAUACAGGUGAAAAGCUCUGCAAAUGCAUUAAUUGUGCUUCUCCCAAAUAUUUAAGUAACCACCUGAGAAUUUGUGUUCUCUGUGUGGGAAGUGCUUUUCCAAAACAAGUGCAUGACAUUUUCACUAAAUGCUUCAUACCGUUGUACAGUGUGGGGUUGAGUUAAAUUGCCACCACGUACUGUGCAUAAUGCUAGUUUUUGAUUUUCAUGGCAAAGGUCAACUCCUACACAUAAAUAGCCUGACAAAUGUAUUCAUUGUGGGAAGUGUUUGAUGAAAGCAUCCAUUACAUGAUGUAGUUUGCAUAAUUCCUUGUAGAUUGAAGGGUGGUAUUUUGCGAUUAUGAAAUUGACUGCAACGUAAUUUGUUUGAAAGAACUGAAAUCUGUUUGGAUAUACUGUCAAAAGAAAUAUGUUUUUGUGUAUUGCAAACGUUUUCUGGAAAUAAACUUACUGCCAUUUCCAAUUAUUUUACUGCCACUUCAGAAGCUGUAAUGUGCCUGUCAAUUAAAGCCGAUUAUUAGACCUCACACACUACAGAGAUAUCAGUUGAGCAUCUUUGUUUUAGUCUUUAUUUUCCGACAUUGCACUGUCAAUUUGGCCUCUGCGAAAGACCUUGUAAAUUCCCUGUUCAAGAUGGCUCUGAUGAACAUAUGUUCUCUUUGUCUAACAAGACUAUAAUUGAAAAAAAACUUCAAUGCAUUUCAGGGUUAAAUUCCACUAUAAAUUAAUGCCUGUAUCUACGUUAUACUGGAUCUGCUUGUUAAUUGUGUCCUUCUAGAUUCAGGCAGUGGGUGGGUAUAUCCAGAACUGCCCAGGACUGGGUUUCCGCUUACCUGUCCAACAGGAAAUCUGCAUCACUGUUGGGGAGUUUGUUUCAUCAUCAGCUUGCUGAAGUGCAGUGUGUCCCAGUGAUCAAUUCUUGGUCCAAUUUUGUUCCCACUGUACACAUUUCCUGUCAUUGCUAUGCAAACGGAACCCUCUGUCUGUAUUUUAAGGCAAAUGAUUUGACUUGGCCAGUUUAUUAACGUCUCUUUCAGGACUGUAUAUCGCAAGGUUUUCUCCAAUUCUGACAAAAUGGAAUCUCUCAUUACAGGCCCACACCACACCUGUGUGUUGGUUUGUUUGCAUCUGAUUUUAGGCCCAUCAUAGCUAGGGAGUAACAAGACCAGGGCUGCGGUCGAAUAGUCAAAAGAAUUACGUCCUCUGUCUUUUCCUAACUACUUUUCCUUGACCUCGAUGGAAAAGGGCAUUUUUUGUGUUGAAAUAUGAUAGAAAAUUAUCUAGUUUAAUGCCACUCCCUGUUAGUUUAAAAAAUACCAUGAAAGCAACUAAUAUUUAAAUCAUGAUGUCGUGAUUUAACAUUUCUGCCAGCAGCACCCCCUGCUCAAAAUCUCUUCCUAUGCCCGUGGUAGCCAAUCCUGCCCGUGGGUCAGCACUUCAGCUGCGUCCCAGUCCACCCCCUAUGCAAAGAACUACGCCGCAUCGCCGGUAUUCAGAAGACGAGAACAAUGCCAUACCAUCCAAGAGGUAACCCAGUGGAGCGUUUUAAUAGGACACUCCUCCAGAUGUUGGGUACUCUGGAAAGCAAGAACAAGACUCACUGGAAGGAUUUCGUCAAGCCGCUGGUGCACGCGUACAACUGUACGAAAAACGAUGUGACUGGAUUUGCACCAUACGAACUGAUGUUCGGACGACAACCUCGACUGCCAGUCGACCUAGCUUUUGGCCUACCCAAGUCACACUCCCAGUAUGUGAACGAUCUAAGAAGUCGGUUGGAAGAGAGCUAUAAAGUUGCCACUCGUAAUGCGUUGAAAACCGCCGACCGUAACCAGCGCAGGUUCGACAAACGAGUCGUGGGCUCAACCCUUGAAGCUGGUGAUCGUGUUCUCCUGCGGAACGUCCGGAUAAGAGGGAAACACAAGUUGGCCGACAAAUGGGAGUCUGAUGUGCAUGUGGUGGUCCAACGUGCUGGUGACCUUCCUGUGUACACAGUCCGGCCUGAGAACAAGGAUGGUCCCCUCUGGACUCUGCACCGUGACUUGUUGUUACCCUGUGGGUUCUUGCCUGUGGCUGAACCUGAUAAGCCAGUCGUGCCAAAAGCUGUCCGCAGGCCUCGAACACGAAGAAGCCCUGACAUCGAGAACAAUGAAGGGUAUGAGAGAUCCCUCUGCUUCUGAGGAAGAUGAGGUCUAUGACGACUCAUAUGGAGAGACAGUGGAGGCUACCACUAGAAUUCUGUCAGACACAGGACCAGUGCAGACGGUGAGGAAUCAACCAACACAUGAGACACAGCACACUAUAGUUGUUCCUGUUGAGUUGCACCCUGCUCCAGUCGAACCUGAAAGAAAGAACUUACCUGAAGUUGAACCUGAAAGAAAGAACUUACCUGAAGCUGAACCUGCACUCUUCUGACUGCGAACUUGAGAGAGGAGACUCACCUGAAACGGUGUCGGAACAGGAACCUGGAGUUGGAGAACUUCCCGAACUUCCAGAAGACUAUCCAAACUUAAUGGAUGAACCGCCACCCAUCCUCUUGUAUAUGUCUGAGAGUGAAGAGGAAGAGACACCGGAAGGGAGUGGAGCAGUCGUUGCUAACACCCCUCCAAGCAACCAGGAGACAAUAAAUGAUCAGCAGAAUGGCAGGGAUAGCACUCCCAGACGUUCCCUCAGGAAAAACCCUCUGCCACCAGAUAGUUCAGUCUAUCAUGAGUUAGGAAACCCCCUGACUUCAGUCAUUCAGACACUGUUGCAGAGCCUUAGUGCAACCAUCACUACGGCACUAACCAGUCAGUUAUGUAGAUGCAACGGGACGUGCAUAGGUUCAAGAGGGGAGGAUGUAACCCAGGGUUCCAAGACACAAAUUGAAUAGAUAGUGAAACAAAGAAAAACAUUUUAAAUAACUAGUAGCAAGUAAAUAAGUAAAUUAUCAUUCAAAAUGGAGACAAAAGAAAAAGACUUAAUAAGGAAAAAUACAUUUUCUUUAUGUGCAGAAAGAUAAGUUGAUAGAAGGAUUAGACAACCAAUGCGGAUAAUGAUACUUGUUGUAAAUUUGUUGAUUGGUCAGUCAGAUGACAAGCCCGCCCUAACUUCCUCUGGUCAAGAUGGCUUGAGCGACAGCAGACAUGCGAAACUUUCUCUGAAAAAAUUAAGCUAAUUCGAAGUGAAUUACAAGUGAAUUUAGGAUACAAUUGCAGAUAUUUUUUUGAGGAGUGACAGUAACUUGAAAGGAAACAGAUUUAUGAAGAAAUAACGAAGAUUUGCAACGUUCUUCUAUCGCCUUGGGCGACGACCGCGUGAAAGAAAAUUUUCUGCAUUCGCCAUUAAGAUCGUUGAAAACCAAACUUUGAACAACUUUGAACAUAUUCCCUUGGCCGGGUUUUUUUUUUGUUGGAGUGUUGUUUUUUUGUUGUUGGAUUUGAACUGCUGUGCUGGAUCCUGGAUUCGUCCGCCCUGCUUGCCUUCCCUGGAGAGCUACAGCGGCGCGCGGACUGGCGAGCCACCCAUGUGAUCGACCUGCAAUUUUAAAGAGAAGGAAAGAGCUCAAUUGUGCCUUCUAAGAUGGUGGUAGGACAAGAGUUUGAAUUCUACAAACUGGAACUCAGCAACAAGUGGUCCAACAACCACACAGACUAAACUGAUUUGCACAGAUAGUGUUUUAGAAAAGUGUUUUGGUGUUAUAGUGUGAUAAGUUUCCUUUGCAUAGGUACUUUCAGUAGUACUACAUAAGGGUUUUGGUUUCAAAAUAAAAGUCCUAAAGUCUAAUUAGUGACAAAUCAUACUAGAACCAAAUAACUAAUAAUAGGGAUUAACUGAAACACAUCAAAGAAAUACUAAAAGUAUGGUUAAGGUAUAAAGAUAGGAAAAAUAGUCAAAAAUUAGUGGAACCAGAGAAAAUAUAAAUACAGACACAAAGUAAAAGGGCUUGGGACCAACUUGUAUGUUUUUCCUUUUUCCAUUUUGUAGAUAUGUGUGUUGUUGUUUAAUGCUUUCUACUUUGUAAUAAAAAACAAAGGGUACAAAGAACCAAAAAAGGGAAAAUUAAAAUUAAAAUUAAAACAAUCAUUCUCUUACCUUUGAAAUGCA